rnacentral:rRNA from 1 species
UACGUAGGGUGCAAGCGUUGUCCGGAAUUAUUGGGCGUAAAGAGCUCGUAGGCGGUCUGUCACGUCGGCUGUGAAAACCCGAGGCUCAACCUCGGGCCUGCAGUCGAUACGGGCAAACUAGAGUAGUGCAGGGGAGACUGGAAUUCCUGGUGUAGCGGUGAAAUGCGCAGAUAUCAGGAGGAACACCGGUGGCGAAGGCGGGUCUCUGGGCAGUAACUGACGCUGAGGAGCGAAAGCGUGGGGAGCGAACAGG